rnacentral:tRNA from 1 species
UGGGGGGUCGUCUAAUCGGGAGGACACCGGACUUUGACUCCGGCAGCGCAGGAUCGAAGCCUGCCCCCCCAGCCA